UAGAUACCCUAUUAUAAUUAAAAUAAAAUUUCAUCAGAGUAGUAGUAGGUAUUUCUUAAAAUUCAAAGGAUUUGGCGGUGUUUUAGUCUUUUUAGGGGAACCUGUUUCGUAAACGAUAGGCCGCGAAUAUUUUACCUGGUUGAUUGUUUGUAUACCGUCAUUAUCAGAUAACUUUGAUAGAGUUAGUUAUUAAAAUUAGCAAUGCUAAUAAAAUUAGAUCAAGGUGCAGUUAAUAAUCAGGGGUGAGUGGGUUACAAUGACACUUAUGUAGACGGAGCUGUCUGUGAAACCAGUUAGUAAAGGUGGACUUAAUUGUAAGGUCGUUAAAUUAAAACAACUUGAUAUUAGCUCUAAAUCAUGUACAUAUCGCCCGUC
rnacentral:rRNA from 1 species